UAAGACGAACCGUGCGAACGUUGUUCGGAAUCACUGGGCUUAAAGGGCGCGUAGGCGGGCUGUCCAGUCUGGGGUGAAAUCCCGCGGCUCAACCGUGGAACUGCCUCAGAUACUGACGGCCUCGAGGGAGAUAGGGGCAUGCGGAACUGUAGGUGGAGCGGUGAAAUGCGUUGAUAUCUACAGGAACUCCGGUGGCGAAGGCGGCGUGCUGGAUCUCUUCUGACGCUGAGGCGCGAAAGCUAGGGGAGCAAACGGGAUUAGAUACCCCGGUAGUCCUAGCCCUAAACGAUGGGUACUAGAUAGUAGAUGAGAUAUGCGUUUACUGUCGAAGCUAAAGUGCUAAGUACCCCGCCUGGGGAGUAUGGUCGCAAGGCUG
rnacentral:rRNA from 1 species